UGCGGUCUGCGCCUCUCGACAGGAACUCACAAUCCCUGGGGCCAUACCCGAUCUUGAGGGAGCUGUCCCUGUCCAGGCCCGUGGGCUUGGUCAUAUGGCGCCCACCUACUUUGUAGGCUCCCAGGAUCGUACCUCUCCAUCGGUUGCCGUGGAUCGCAC
rnacentral:other from 1 species